rnacentral:rRNA from 1 species
GAUGAACGCUGGCGGCGUGCCUAAUACAUGCAAGUCGAGCGAAUGGAAUAAGAGCUUGCUCUUAUGAAGUUAGCGGCGGACGGGUGAGUAACACGUGGGUAACCUGCCCAUAAGACUGGGAUAACUCCGGGAAACCGGGGCUAAUACCGGAUAACAUUUUGAACCGCAUGGUUCGAAAUUGAAAGGCGGCUUCGGCUGUCACUUAUGGAUGGACCCGCGUCGCAUUAGCUAGUUGGUGAGGUAACGGCUCACCAAGGCAACGAUGCGUAGCCGACCUGGGAGGGUGAUCGGCAACACUGGGACUGAGAAACGGCCCAGACUCCAACGGGAGGCAGCAGUAGGGAAUCUUCCGCAAUGGACGAAAGUCUGACGGAGCAACGCCGCGGGAGUGAUGAAGGCUUUCGGGUCGUAAAACUCUGUUGUUAGGGAAGAACAAGUGCUAGUUGAAUAAGCUGGCACCUUGACGGUACCUAACCAGAAAGCCACGGCUAUCUACGUGCCAGCCGCCGCUGUAA